rnacentral:rRNA from 1 species
AUACGGAGGAUGCGAGCGUUAUCCGGAUUUAUUGGGUUUAAAGGGAGCGUAGGCGGGAGCUUAAGUCAGCGGUUAAAUGGUGCGGCUCAACCGUGCCCUGCCGUUGAAACUGGGUUUCUUGAGAGUGCAAGAGGCGGAUGGAAUUCAUGGGGUAGCGGGGAAAUGCUUAGAUAUCAUGAAGAACUCCGAUUGCGAAGGCAGUCCGCUGGGGCACGUCUGACGCUGAUGCUCGAAGGUGCGGGAAUCAAACAGGAUUAGAUACCCUGGUAGUCCGCACGGUAAACGAUGAUUACCCGCUGUCGGCGGUAGACAGUCGGCGGCCAAGCGAAAGCGAUAAGUAAUCCACCUGGGGAGUACGCCGGCAACGGUGAAACUCAAAGGAAUUGACGGGG